ACCGUACUCCUACGGGAGGCAGCAGUGGGGAAUAUUGGACAAUGGGCGAAAGCCUGAUCCAGCCAUGCCGCGUGUGUGAAGAAGGUCUUCGGAUUGUAAAGCACUUUAAGUUGGGAGGAAGGGCAUUAACCUAAUACGUUAGUGUUUUGACGUUACCAACAGAAUAAGCACCGGCUAACACCGUGCCAGCAGCCGCGGUAAUACGGAGGGGGCUAGCGUUGUUCGGAAUUACUGGGCCUAAAGCGCACGUAGGCGGACCAGAAAGUUGGGGGUGAAAUCCCGGUGCUCAACCCCGGAACUGCCUUCAAAACUAUUGGUCUGGAGUUCGAGAGAGGUGAGUGGAAUACCGAGUGUAGAGGUGAAAUUCGUAGAUAUUCGGUGGAACACCAGUGGCGAAGGCGGCUCACUGGCUCGAUACUGACGCUGAGGUGCGAAAGCGUGGGGAGCAAACAGGAUUAGAAACCCUGGUAGUCCUUGAC
rnacentral:rRNA from 1 species